UCUGGCAGUGAUGGCGAAGAGGUCACACCCGUUCCCAUUCCGAACACGGAAGUUAAGUUCUUCAGCGCCGAUGGUAGUUGGGGGUCUCCCCCUGUGAGAGUAGGACGUUGCCAGGC
rnacentral:rRNA from 2 species